rnacentral:lncRNA from 1 species
UCCGUCAGCGCUGGACGCGCGGACCGGAGCGCCCAAAGCGGACAAUACCUCGUGGGGGACGCGGUCUCUUUCUGCUCGGCUCGGUUGGGACUAAGGCUGUUGCCGGGGUGAAAAUCCCGCAACAGAUGGCGCUAGAGGAAGGGCCAGCCUCCUCUCUCCAUUGACUACCCUCCAGGAUUGUGGGGGCCCGUUGGGGUAAAA